UACAUGUCAGAUUCGGUAAAAUGGUCUG
rnacentral:sRNA from 1 species